AUUGAACGCUGGCGGCAGGCCUAACACAUGCAAGUCGAACGGUAACAGGAAGCAGCUUGCUGCUUCGCUGACGAGUGGCGGACGGGUGAGUAAUGUCUGGGAAGCUGCCUGAUGGAGGGGGAUAACUACUGGAAACGGUAGCUAAUACCGCAUAAUGUCGCAAGACCAAAGAGGGGGACCUUCGGGCCUCUUGCCAUCGGAUGUGCCCAGAUGGGAUUAGCUUGUUGGUGGGGUAACGGCGCACCAAGGCGACGAUCCCUAGCUGGUCUGAGAGGAUGACCAGCCACAAUGGAACUGAGACACGGUCCAAACUCCUACGGAAGGCAGAAGUGGGGAAUAUUGCACAAUGGGCGCAAGCCUGAUGCAGCCAUGCCGCGUGGAUGAAGAAGGCCUUCGGGUUGUAAAGUACUUUCAGCGGGGAGGAAGGGAGUAAAGUUAAUACCUUUGCUCAUUGACGUUACCCGCAGAAGAAGCACCGGCUAACUCCGU
rnacentral:rRNA from 1 species